rnacentral:rRNA from 1 species
AUGUUCUCUAUCUAGCCUAACACACCCCCCCCCCCCCCCCCAUCUUCGACCAAUAAAACAUUCACCAUACUUAGUCUAUGAGAUAAAAAAGUUCAACAGAGCUAUAAAUAUGUACCGUAAGGGAUAAAUGAAAUAAAGUGAAAUAUUUUAAAACACUAAAAAGCAGAGAUCUUAACUCGUACCUUUUGCAUCAUGGUCUAACAAGUCUAAUCAGGCGAGACGAAUUUUAGUCUGACCUCCCGAAACUAGGUGAGCUACUCCGGGGCUACCAAUGUAAACCCGUCUCUGUUGCAAAAGAGUGGGCGAACCCCUGAGUAGAGGCGAAAAACCUACCGAACCUAGUAAUAGCUGGUUGCUUAGGAAAAGGAUUUAAGUUCUUUCUUAAAAAUACUCAGGCACCCAAACAGGCAAACCCUAUUUUUAAGAACUAUUCAAUAAAGGUACAGCUUUAUUGAAGAAGGAGACAACCUAAACCUUAGGAUAAUGAUUAUAAUCUUUAAGGAAAUUUAGAUUAGUUGGCCUAAAAGCAGCCACCUCUAAUAGCGUCAAAGCUUCACCUCACCUCUUCCCUUAAUCCCACUACACCAUCAAAAUCCGUCAUCACUACUAAGCCAUUUUAUAUUUUUAUAAAAGAAUUAAUGUUAGGACUAGUAACAAAGAAAAACUUCUCUUUUAUAUAAGUUUAAAUCAGCUCGAAUACCUCCCUGAUAGUUAUCCAACCUUGAAUCUAUAGUAGUACCCCUUAAUUUUAAAAACCCUACUAAAAUAAUUGUUAAUCAGACAUAUGAAUAUAAAAGAAAGAUAUAAAAAUUAAGAAGGAACUCGGCAAACACAAAUCCCGCCUGUUUACCAAAAACAUCGCCUUUUGAAUUAUAUAAAAGGUAACGCCUGCCCAGUGACCCUGUGUUAAACGGCCGCGGUAUCCUGACCGCGCAAAGGUAGCGUAAUCAUUUGUCUUUUAAAUGAAGACUUGUAUGAAAGGCAUUACGAGGACUUAACUGUCUCCUUAAUUUAAUCAGUGAAACUGAUCUUCCCGUAAAAAAGCGGGAAUAAAACCAUUAGACGAGAAGACCCUAUGGAGCUUAAAACCUCAAACUACUUGUGUAACUUUCUCACAGAAUAUUAUUAAUAAACAAGCCUAGUCUAAGUUUUCUGUUGGGGUGACUGUGGAGAAAAACUAAUCCUCCAUGAAGAAUAGACUUAGAGCUACCGCUCUUAGUAUUAGUAAACCUAACUUUAAUUGACCCAAUCUUUGAUCAACGGACCAAGUUACCCUAGGGAUAACAGCGCCAUCCAUUUCAAGAGUCCAUAUCGACAAAUGGGUUUACGACCUCGAUGUUGGAUUAGGACACCCCAGUGGUGUAGCCGCUACUAAA